rnacentral:rRNA from 1 species
GAUGAACGCUGGCGGCGUGCCUAAUACAUGCAAGUCGAGCGAACAGACGCGGAGCUUGCUCCUCUGACGUUAGCGGCGGACGGGUGAGUCACACGUGGAUAACCUACCUAUAAGACUGGGAUAACUUCGGGAAACCGGCGCUAAUACCGGAUAAUAUAUUGAACCGCAUGGUUCAAUAGUGAAAGACGGUUUUGCUGUCACUUAUAGAUGGAUCCGCGCCGCAUUAGCUAGUUGGUAAGGUAACGGGUUACCAAGGCAACGAUGCGUAGCCGACCUGAGAGGGUGAUCGGCCACACUGGAACUGAGACACGGUCCAGACUCCUACGGGAGGCAGCAGUAGGGAAUCUUCCGCAAUGGGCGAAAGCCUGACGGAGCAACGCCGCGUGAGUGAUGAAGGUCUUCGGAUCGUAAAACUCUGUUAUUAGGGAAGAACAAAUGUGUAAGUAACUAUGCACGUCUUGACGGUACCUAAUCAGAAAGCCACGGCUAACUACGUG